GCCUUCGUGGUGUGAUGGUCAGCACGCUGGACGCAUAUUCCAGAGAUCCAUGGUUCAAUUCCUGGCGAAGGCG